rnacentral:rRNA from 1 species
CGAGCGGCGAACGGGUGAGUAACACGUGGGUGAUCUGCCUUGCACUUCGGGAUAAGCCUGGGAAACUGGGUCUAAUACCGGAUAUGACCACGAACUGCAUGGUUUGUGGUGGAAAGAUUUAUCGGUGCGAGAUGGGCCCGCGGCCUAUCAGCUUGUUGGUGAGGUAACGGCCCACCAAGGCGACGACGGGUAGCCGACCUGAGAGGGUGACCGGCCACACUGGGACUGAGACACGGCCCAGACUCCUACGGGAGGCAGCAGUGGGGAAUAUUGCACAAUGGGCGAAAGCCUGAUGCAGCGACGCCGCGUGCGGGAUGACGGCCUUCGGGUUGUAAACCGCUUUUGACAGGGACGAAGCGCAAGUGACUGUACCUGUAGAAUAAGGACCGGCCAACUACGUGCCAGCAGCCGCGGUAAUACGUAGGGUCCGAGCGUUGUCCGGAAUUACUGGGCGUAAAGAGCUUGUAGGCGGUUCGUCGCGUCGUUUGUGAAAACUUGGGGCUCAACCUUAAGCUUGCAGGCGAUACGGGCGGACUAGAGUACUUCAGGGGAGACUGGAAUUCCUGGUGUAGCGGUGAAAUGCGCAGAUAUCAGGAGGAACACCGGUGGCGAAGGCGGGUCUCUGGGAAGUAACUGACGCUGAGAAGCGAAAGCAUGGGUAGCAAACAGGAUUAGAUACCCUGGUAGUCCAUGCCGUAAACGGUGGGUACUAGGUGUGGGGCUCCUUCCACGGACUCCGUGCCGUAGCUAACGCAUUAAGUACCCCGCCUGGGGGAGUACGGCCGCAAGGCUAAAACUCAAAGAAAUUGACGGGGGCCCGCACAAGCGGCGGAGCAUGUGGAUUAAUUCGAUGCAACGCGAAGAACCUUACCUGGGUUUGACAUACACCGGAAACCUGCAGAGAUGUAGGCCCCCUUGUGGUCGGUGUACAGGUGGUGCAUGGCUGUCGUCAGCUCGUGUCGUGAGAUGUUGGGUUAAGUCCCGCAACGAGCGCAACCCUUAUCUUAUGUUGCCAGCGCGUAAUGGCGGGGACUCGUGAGAGACUGCCGGGGUCAACUCGGAGGAAGGUGGGGACGACGUCAAGUCAUCAUGCCCCUUAUGUCCAGGGCUUCACACAUGCUACAAUGGCCGGUACAGAGGGCUGCGAUACCGCGAGGUGGAGCGAAUCCCUUAAAGCCGGUCUCAGUUCGGAUCGGGGUCUGCAACUCGACCCCGUGAAGUUGGAGUCGCUAGUAAUCGCAGAUCAGCAACGCUGCGGUGAAUACGUUCCCGGGCCUUGUACACACCGCCCGUCACGUCAUGAAAGUCGGUAACACCC